rnacentral:lncRNA from 1 species
CAUCAGUCUUCCAAAGUGCAGGGAUUACAGGCAUAAGCCACCAAGCCCAGGUAAAACCAUUUUUAAAAAGAAAGUGAAUUCCCUCAGAAUCCCACCCCAAAGAAACCACACAUAUUUUUUGGUUCAGUUCAAUCACAAGAAGCAAACUGCUGGACAAGCGUCAUUUUUCCCCCAUGAAGACUGUUUUGUCUUGGAAGGUGAUCCUCUUCCUUCAGCUGUAAUGUGUCAAAAUUUGUGAUGUAGAUUUUGCUAUUCCCCAAAAUACACAGAAAAACGCUGGCUUAACUAUACAUACACAAGUCGUGCAUCUACUUCACUGUUAUGUAUUCUAACACAAAAUAAGAAUUAACUGAAACAGUAGCUGCCUUUGUGGUGGUGAAAUGUUCCAAUUUACCUGAUGAUUAAACUGAGACAUUCUGAUUUCAUUCUUCUUAAAUAUUAUUGCCUUAUAAAUUUAAUGACUGAAGCAGUAAUGAAAACAUAGCAGCUACUGUUUCUGUGAUGAUGGAAACAUUCAUAAGUCAUUUUCUAAAAUAUGCAUACUACAAAAAUAAAUGGAAAAUGCUUGGAUGAUUUUUAUGUAAAUAUUUUUCAUUCACCCACAUAUCAAGUCUAUAAACUCAUUUAACAAUUAAAUGCUGAACUAAAUAUAAAAUGCAAAAUUAUUUUACAAAUUAAUUUAUUUAACAGCAUACAGGAACUUCUGCAAGUAUUAUAAAUCAAAUGGUGUUCCAUGUUACAAAAUUUGUAAGUAAGAUUUAUAAAUAGAGUAUGGACAUUUAAAUUAAUGACAUCCACGUACAAAUCUUUAGACGUAAUACAAAUUUAAAACAUUUACUUUACUUUUAGUCUAUUCCACCUAUAUAGAAAUACCUAACGUAGUAUUAUAAACUAACCAAAACAAGCUAAGUGGGAAUCUACAAUGAUAAAGUUCAUUUAAAACUCACAUAAAAGAAAAAAAAUAGAAUAAAGUUGAUAAACUAAAAUUUAAAGAAUACAUAUAUAUGCAAACUUCAGGUAGAGGUUCACAAGAAACAUUCAAUUAACUUGGAUAUAAGUAACCACUGAAACAGUCGGUAAUGAAAGUAUAAAUGACAAGAAACCACUUCAAUAAUAAAGUGAUUUAAGAGUCAAGAGGGCAGAAGGUUUUUUAAAAUUUUUUUUCAGUUUGAACAUGUUCAUAGGGCACAGUUUAGUGAUAUUUUGAAAUAAAAAUAACUGAAAAAUACUUUUUGCUCUACAAUUAAGAGUUACUUCUGCCACUGCUAUAAAUUUUUCUAUUAUGUCCUUUCCUAGGUUGUAUCUUAAGAGCAUCAGUACAUAUAUGCAUUCACACUGCCUAGCAGUAAUAACUUAAAAUUUUAAAACUGCAAAAGAAAAAAAAAUACAAUCCAGACUUCUCUUUUAUAUAUAUAGUUUCUAUAUGCCUGUAUCUUUCAGAUAACUUCAGCCAUUACUAUUGUUAUCUUUUAUUGCAUCUUCAUCUUAUGUUGAUGAAGCUAUUUAGUGAAACUAUUUAAUGGGGAAAAAAUACAAAAUGGCAGCUUUCAAAUGUUUUAUUUUUAUUAUCUGCACUACACUAUUAAAAAACAGGUUUAUGUAUUAGAGAGAGACAAGGCAUAUGUUCUAACCUGAAAUAAUAAUUACUGGGAAAUUAAUAAAUCUAACUGCAAAAGAAUGCUAUCUCCCUAAAUUUUCUGUUGCGCUGGAAGGGAUAAAAAGUCAUUAAGAGGGAAAAACUAUUUAAAGUCAUAGCAAAACAAAAAUAUUCAACUCUUCCAUAAAACAUAUCACAUACACUGCAUCUUUGUGUCAUUAUCACUCCAGUGGAGAAUUAUACUAUUUUUAUAUAGAGAAUCCCAUUUGUAAAAUUGCAACACACAUCUUUUCCCAGGACUAAUGCACUCUUUUGUUUGAUUAUACUUUAUAGAUAGAUCUUUUCUAUUAAUAAAUCUAAUUUUCACCAUACAGACAUAAAAUAUGGGGGAUAGUCUAGCAGUUUUUAUUUCUAUUUCUAAACACUUUACAUUUUAUGCACUUGGAAAUACAAAUUUUACAGUCUUAAACGAAAGUGAAUUUGAAGGCAAUACAACCCAUUUCCAAUAAUCCAAUUCCAUAUUAUACUCUCAAAUGUCUAAGUAGGCAACUACAUCAACAAAGAUAUCAAAAAGAAGCUUAAAAGUGACAAAUACAUUCAACGUCCAUGUUUUCAAUGUAUCAUUUGGUAAAAUCUGUAAUGUCAAAGCCACACAAUUACUUGCUUUAGCUAUUAAUUAUAAAAGAAAGGCCUAUGUAAACAGAUGUUAAAACAACUAAGAUGAUAAAUGGAAUCUACACCUUUUUAAUAAAGUCUGUAAACUAAAGUGAGCACUAAGUAAAAUUUCAACACACAGAGAAGUACUUGUAUUUUAAGAUACUAUAUCAAGCCAUUAUUAACAACUCAAAUUAUAACUGUUUCUGUUAGAAAUUUAUCUAUGCACAUUUGUUAGAAUUAGUAUUUUAAAUUCAUGGUAAAUUCAUCUUUUAAGAUUUAAAUAAAUACUUGACAGGGCACUUUUAUAGAUUUUCACAUUAAUAUACUGAAUUAAAAGGAUUCUCAUAAUUUUAGAGAUGCACUACUAACUCAACGAAAUAAAAUUCACUUUUCUCUAUCUGAAAAUUUCUCCUUAAUAAGAGGAAUGGAAAUGAGGUGGGCAAGAGAAAUAAUUAUCUACAUAUGAGUUAACUCUAAAAUCAAAAUUCCUUCUUGUGUUGACUAGAACAUAUUACAUAAAAACAAUUCUAGUUAUUGUAGAUAUUUACAAGAAGUUCUUGCUACCAAAACAUUUCAUAUUUUCUUCUACCUCUGUACAUAGUACUUACCUCAUUUUAAGUAAAGCAUUUUAUUACUCUAUAAAACACAUACAUAAUUGCUCUUACAACCCAGUAAAAUAGAAAUAAACUUAAUCACAUUCAAAGAAAAAUGAGGUUUGUUCCCAAAAGAUUUACAAAAUGAACAUCUCAAAAUAACCUGUUAUUUAUAAUUCAUGGAGAGUCAAAACAUGCUACCACAAAUUCAUAAAAUUUGGAUAGCAUAAAUGGCACCCUUACCCCUUUUUGGUUAUUAGGUUUCUUUAAACAACGUUAACUAAAUAUUCAUUCAAGACAGAAUUUACUCAAAACAAUCUAUUUUACAAACUAAAACAAUGGUAGUAAAUUUAACACUGAGAUGACGGUGAGAGAGCAAGAUGACUCACACUGGCAUUGAAUUUUUUUUCAACAGGGAACAUUAAUCAUUUGUAAACAAAACUAUAUUCUUAAACCACAGUGAGCAAAACACACUAUACAUCCAUUCAAGGGAUCACUUCCUACUCCCUCUUGUAACUUCAAUUAAGUCAGCUGUGUAGUGAGACAGGUUUUGUGAAUACUCAAAGAAAAAUCAGAGCUAAAGCAAUGAAAGCUAGCAUACAUAUCCAGAUGAAGCAGAGCAGUUAGGAUACAUGGGAAAACAAGGAAACAGGGCUGGGAGCUAUAACGCAGACCUCAGAUAACCUAAGAGCUGCAGAAACAAUUUUAAAAUCUUAUUAUAACCAGUAUCAUUCACCAGGUAAUUAAGAGAAUUUAAUUUUCACAUAAGCCUCAAAGCAACACUAAGAAGAAAAUGAAACAUCUUUAACAUGUAAGAAUUUUUUUUAUUCUUUUGGCUUUUUUUUUUUUUUUCAAAAUUAACACAAAGCUAAUAAGCUGAAUACACAAUGCAAAGCAUCCUAAAUCUUGGGCAAUAACAAAAUCUAAGAUCCUAAGAUCAUGAUAUUUAAGGUAGGAAAAAAGUAAUCAGACUAGACUGGGCGCGGUGGCUCACGCCUGUAAUCAAUCCCAGCACUUUGGGAGGCAGAGAUGGGUGGAUCACCUGACGUCGGGAGUUUGAGACCAGCCUGACCAACAUGGAGAAACCCCAUCUCUACUAAAACUACAAAAUUAGCCGGGCGUGGUGCCACAUGCCUGUAAUCCUAGCUACUCCGGAGGCUAAGGCAGGAGAAUUGCUUGAACCCAGGAGGUGAAGGUUGUGGUGAGCUGAGAUUGUGCCACUGCACUCUAGACUGGGCAACAAGAGCAAGACUCCAUCUCAAAAAAAAAAAAAAAAAAAAAGUAAUCAGAUAGCAAAGGCAAGUUAUUUAAUCCAGACCCCAUACCCAAUGCUUAAAAAUUGUCAUGGAUGAUUUGAGAAUUGUAAAACCUCAUAAAAUAGAGAGAGGAAAAGCCUGAAUAAAGAGUAUUUUAAAAAAACAUAAUUUGGUUUCAGUAAACAAAGAAAAGCUGAAUUGUUAACACAAAUUUGCUGAGUAGGGAUGUUCCAAAGAAGUGACAAGAGGAACGUAACCUUUUAAGUAACUCAACUAUGAAACUAAAAUUAUUUCAGUAAAAAAUGUACAAUCGUAAAGCACUGAACUACUUUUAUUUUGCUCAGAGUGGUCUGAGAAUAGAGGUAGAAAUUACAGAAUAUGAAGCACAACGUAUUUACAUACUGAAAUUUACAAUAUUGGUAUUUUCUCAUUAAAAUAUUAUCUAUUUGAACUUAGAUAUUGAAUACUUUUAGAAAAACCAAUACAUUUUAAAAUGAGAGAAUGCAAUUAACAUUACCAACAGUUCAAACACAAAAAAAAAUUAAGAUGGGACAGACAUUAACAGCUUGCCAAGAUCAUUACGUUUCCAGUUAAAAAGUUAAGAACUUGCCCUUUUAGCCAUUCAUCAUCACUUUAAUAGAUUACAUUAGUAUUUUAUUUGUAUACAGCCUUACUAGUGACAUUCACUUUAGCUUUCAAAUCACUCAGUCCAUUUGGUCCAUUUAAGAUUUACAUGAAAGCUCAAAAGGACUCAUAUUUUAAAACUUCUAAAAAGGUCAACAGACCUUAUUAUGAUGGUGAUCAAAUUUGCAGAUAGCUUUUGUUUUAAAGAUUUACUUGAAUAUAUUUAAUCCCAGUCCCCACCCCUUUAUUCAAGUCUACAUCCACAAUACUGUUUGAUAUAGCAAACGUACAAUAAUCCAGGAUAACAGAAUUUUUUGCACUAGAAAUGCUUAUGUAAAAUUUUUCUUGGAUGAAGGCACAUACAGUAUUACAACUCAAUUCUGAUUAAUGUACAAACAAAACAUGGAAAUUCUGGUAUGGUACAUCAGUGAUUAAGAAAAAUGUCAACAAUAGUUUGCACAUUAGGAAUUUGUAGUUUAUGUCUGAAUGUAAUGAAACUCAAGUCAUGAUAUAUUUAGGUGUACCCAUUACUAGAAUGUAAUGUUAGCUAACUCAAAUAAGAUUAACAAUGGACUUUGUUUACUUGGUUGACUAUGCUAGUUUUACUAAAACCAGUAGAAAUUGUAAUUAGUUAACUUUGGGCUUAAAUUGGUUUAGAGGCCCCUUGAUGGGCACAUCCAAUUUUGUAGAUGAAUUCAAGUUUCAUUAUCAUGCCUUUACUAACAAGAAGCUUGCUGAUAACUUAUAAAGUCCAAAAAAAUAGGUAACUUACAGAACCUGUACCCUUCUAUAAUGGAAAUGACUGACAUAGGUAAGCAUUUCAACUAAUAACCCAGUCACAAUCCAGUUUAAGCAACUGAUGGAUAUUGAGAAUUUUUUCAUUAAGAUGGGAUCAGAUGUAUUUAACUCAGGGGAAAAAAGUGCUACAUCUUUAAAAUUUAGUGUUUAGAUUUACAUAAUACAACAUUCAAUUUUUACAUUCAAAAACAAUAUCAAUUUCAAUAAGCUUAGUUUUAAAAGUAAAAGGUUUUUUUGCCUCAUAUUAAAAGAAUGUUUUGAGAUUUAUAUUAAAUUUUGUAAUACAUGGAAAACUACAAAUUAAAGUUUUGAUAUUCAAUCUGCAUAUUCAAAAUGCAAAGUAUCAAAACCAGCCUUUUAACUCAAAAAGCCCUUAAAAUUGUAAAUAGUGUAGGAGCUUAUAUCUGUGUUCCAUAAAAAUAGCAUGCUUAUUUUCUAGGCAUUUAAGGACUUCAUUUGCGUAUCUGUUAUGGUUAAAGAAAUUGGUAUUCUGUCACAGAAUUACAUACACUUGAUAAAACCUUUAAUUUUGCCCAUAACAAUUUAAAUACUAACAAUUACCAUGACUGAAUUUUCAGUAAGUUUCCCAUGAUUACUGAAAAUAAUCACAUAAAGAGUAUUUACCUAUGAGGGGUUUGUUUAGCCUUAAUUUAAUUUGAAUAUGCCAACCAACAUAUAAAGAAAAAAUAUUUUAAUUUACAGAAUAACCUUUGUGUCACAUGCAUAAGCCUUAUAGUGCCCUCCCCCAGCUCUUCACAUGAAUAAAUGCUAUUAACAAAUAUAAAAAAUAAAAUUACAUGUGAAAAUGAAGCAUAAACAGACAACUCUUCCCACUUCAUGAAAAAUGUACACAAGAAAGUUUUAAAAUACAGAAAAAAAGACAAUGAUUAUGAUUUAUGAAUGAAACAUCAAAGAAAAUUAUUUCAAGGUAUUCUAAACUUGGGUAUAUGGCUUGACACAAUUUAAAAUUUUUAGAUAUAAAUCAGUGCACCCUAAACCCAUUUUAAUUGAUUAACUUUUACAUCUUCUUUGCAAAUUAAAGGAUACUGUUUCUUUUAAAAACAAAAAGCAGAUGUCAGGAUAGUGUCUCUUCUAAAAAAAAAAAUUUUUUUUUUAAAGGAAAAUUCUCUUUGAAUGUUGAGAAAACACCCUCCUGUAUUAUAAACUAUUAUUGUGUUAGAUUUUCUCAUAAAUUUUUAGGGACAAAUAAAACUAGUUCAAAAAUAGUAACUUUCCAUUUAUUUUUAAAAAUCCAAACACAUAACAUAUAUGUGAAAUAACUCCCUGUGUUUUGUAUUUUAAAUUGCAUGCAACCUAUGUAUGUGAUACAAGAACCCCAAUUUUUAGAUUUUAGAAGUACACAAUGAGUCCUCUUGAUUAUUUCCUUGCUUUGUUAAGACCAUUAACUAUUUGAAACCUGAAAGUGAUAACUCAGCAAUAAAAUAUUCAUAAGAUAAAGGGUCAAAAUUUUUACCUGUCAUUACUUACCUAUAAUUUGUUUCAGAUGUUUCCAGAAGAUUAAAUUCACAAGUAGUUGGACCAUUUAAAAUGUAGGUAUAUACUGUAUAAACAGUAGCCUUGGAGUUAUAGUUACUGUUAAGAAUACACACACAUUUAACAGGGAACAAGGAAUACCCACCUUCUAACGAUGACGAUAUUCGCGCUCUCGGUCACGCUCUCGGUCACGGUCUCGGUCACGAUCCCGGUGCCUCUCUCGUUCUCUGCUUCUCUCUCUGUAAUAAUCGUCAUGACGGUCUCUACUACGGGAUUUAUGACGUCGACUCUUUUCUCGUGAUCUACUAUGGUCCCUCUCUCUUGAUCGUUCACGUCUUCUAAAAGAAAUUACUGGAUUAAUGCUCUCCAUAAUUAGAUAGCCUAAAAAUAUUCAAUUUUUUGAUGUCUAAAAAAACUUAGGCAGCAAAAAUUCUUUGUAAAUCUGGUUUAAACUUACUAUCCUGAGCUGCCAAUAACGACUUACCAACUCACCAGGUAAGCAUGAACCAGAAAUUUCACUAUUAAAAACAUUAACAAAAAAAUCAGCAACCAGACACAUCACAGAAAUGCAUCACAUCAUCUAUUAAACUAGUAGCCUAAAACAGAUGUGUAGUAUUUACUGAAUGCACAAAUAGAAAGGUAAAGGGAAAAUUUCAAAGCACUCGUGUUUCAAGCUAAAGAACAUCUACAAUAUGGUUUUUUUAGAUAUAAAAGUCAUGAAAUCACAACACACAAUGGGGCUUAAAUACAUGAAUAUGACAACCUCUUAACAUAUGGUUCAUGAGCAGCAUCCAACACAAAGAAACCUUCUAAUACGCAUGUUAUAUUCAGGGGAGGAGAAGAGGCAUGGGAGAGGGCUAACAAUUAUGACCAGUAGCAAGAAUAGAUAUAGUAUUCACAUUGUAUUUAAUAAGUAGAAAUGUUUCAUGAACUGCGAUUUUUUAAAAACAAAUAAUUUAACCAAAGCUUACUACCCAAAAGACUUCUAUAAAUUCUGCUAAAUUCACAGUAAGGAAAUAAUAACUGUCUACGAAAUAAUAUUUAUGUCUUGUAUUUCUGCACCAGACAGCUAAGCUUAGCAAACAUUAGGUGCUAAAAUCCUUGAUCAAGGCCUAAGUUAUUACUUUGUUUUUUCAAGAUAGGGUCUCUCUCUCUCUCUCUGUCACCCAGGCUGGAGUGCAGGGACAUGAUCACAGUUCAUUUCAUCCUCGACCUCUGAGGCUCAAGCAACCCUCCCACCACAGCCUCCCAAGUAGCUGGGACUAUAGGCAUGCACCACCAGGCCCAGAUAUUUUUAAAAUUUUUUUGUAGAAAAACUCCUUAUGUGGCCAAGGCUGGUCUCAAACUCCUGGGGCUCACGUGAUCCUCCUGCCUUGGUCUCCCAAAGUGUUGGGAUUAAAAAAUUAUUACUUUGGACUUCAAAACUUAAAAAGAUGAUACAAGAUAACUAUAUCUAUGACAAAUUUGUUUAGACACAAAGAUUCUUACACCGGGUCAAAAAGGUAAUAAUUACAAAACUGGGGACCAUGUCAAAGGCAAGCUCUUUUCUCUUACAGAUUACUACCAGAUAGAGUACACUAAAGACAUAUCUAAGAAUACCAAGUGAAGAUUAGGUCUGCCUUUCAAAAAUAUAUAAAAUUUCAAAGUUAGCAGCAAUGCUAAAAAGAAAAAAAAAGGAACUACCUAAAAGAUAGAUCAUUCAUUCAUUCAGUCACUCCCUCAUUCGAGAAAUUUUUAUUUAGCACUCAUUCUGUACCACACACUCUGUAGGCAUUAGAAAUAUUAUAACGAGCAUGGCUGAGCACACUGGCUCAUGCCUAUCAUCCCAACACUUUGGGAGGCCAAGCUGAGAGGAUUACUUGAGCCCAGGAGUUCAGGACCAGCCUGGGUAACUUAACAAGACCCAUCUCUUAAAAGAAAAGAAAUAUAGUAAGCAGGAUAGAUAAAUCCCCUGCCAUCAUUCAACAUGUGUUCUAAUGAGGAAAAAUAUGCCUUAUAACAAGUAAGAAUUGAUUAUGGUAAGUACUAUGGAAGAAAUAAAAAGAACAAUACGACAGACUAACUUGGGAGAAGCCCCACCCUAAGAAGUUAGAAUGAGACGUGAAGAAUAAGGAGCCAGCUAUGUGAAGAGACAGGGAAAACUGCUCCCAGCAGAAGGAAUAUAAAGUGAGGUGGUCAAACAUUUGGUGUACCUAAAGAAAAGGAGAAAUAUGGAGAAAUACUCACUGGAGAACAGUGAGUAAGGGGAGAGGUACAAAAUGAGGCUAAAAAGAUAGGCAGGGGCUUUAUCACACAGUCCCUCAAUCUUUACAGUCUUGCUUUAAGACUGAGUAGGAGCCUUUAAAGGGUUUUAAGCAAGCAACUAACAUUUAGAGUUAAAAAAAAAAACCACUCCAGCUGCUAAAUAAUCAGUAAGUAAAAGCAAAGUCCUCCUUUUAAAGUCUCACAGUAUUUUUUCCAUUUGUAAACUAACAGUUUUUUUAAAUGGAAAUGAGACAGGAAAGUUUUACCUUGAUCCAGAACCAUAAGACUUGGACUCAAUUCCAUGAAGGCAAUCUUGCAAAGAACUAAUAAGAACUUUGCAACGAUCAUCAGCAGAUACUUUGGAUUGUUUAAUUAAAGAAAUUGCAGUUACCAGUGUCUCAAUAGCACUCCCAUAAUCACCUGUGAGGGAAAGGAAAGGGUUUGAAGUCAAACAAAUUUUGUUUUCAAAACACCAUCAAACCACUUGGGAUAAGAGUGAUAAGGCAUUUUACAAAAGUACUGUGCUAUAAAAUAACUAUGCAAGACAAUGUCUUCUUUCAGUGUUUCACCAUUUGCAAAAGCCUUUCAUGCUCAUGAUAUUGACUCAACUUAUUAUACGUGUGUGAAGCACAUUAUCAUUUUGCAAAUAUAAGAAUAAAUAAGGUGUCAUGAGGCCCCUGAACCAUUAAAUGUCAAGGGUAAGACUUAAAUCUAUACCAAAUAACUUAAAAUUUGGAUUUUCCCCACUACACUGUGACACACAACUUUUUUCAAUGCUUUUUAAAUAAAUCGUAGGUAAUGAUUUGGGAAUAU